UGGGGAAUAUUGGGCAAUGGGCGAAAGCCUGAUCCAGCCAUGCCGCGUGUGUGAAGAAGGCCUUUUGGUUGUAAAGCACUUUAAGUGGGGAGGAAAAGCUUAUGGUUAAUACCCAUAAGCCCUGACGUUACCCACAGAAUAAGCACCGGCUAACUCUGUGCCAGCAGCCGCGGUAAUACAGAGGGUGCAAGCGUUAAUCGGAAUUACUGGGCGUAAAGCGCGCGUAGGUGGUUAUUUAAGUCAGAUGUGAAAGCCCCGGGCUUAACCUGGGAACUGCAUCUGAUACUGGAUAACUAGAGUAGGUGAGAGGGGAGUAGAAUUCCAGGUGUAGCGGUGAAAUGCGUAGAGAUCUGGAGGAAUACCGAUGGCGAAGGCAGCUCCCUGGCAUCAUACUGACACUGAGGUGCGAAAGCGUGGGUAGCAAACAGGAUUAGAUACCCUGGUAGUCCACGCCGUAAACGAUGUCUACCAGUCGUUGGGUCUUUUAAAGACUUAGUGACGCAGUUAACGCAAUAAGUAGACCGCCUGGGGAGUACGGCCGCAAGGUU
rnacentral:rRNA from 1 species